GAGUUAUGGUUAAGUUUCUGGUCAGAGGUGCAUUAUAACUCUUUAUACGAUAUUCAAGUUGCUCCAGUUCAGCAGAAGCCAAAGAGAAAACAUUGGUUGUUCUAAAAGGCAUGCCUCUCACACGUCCCAUAUUAAGACCUUUAACUCUUUCUCGUACAUUUGUGCAUAAAGCAUAUUCUCGUAUAUCAUAACUCUUUCUUCACACUUCUCUCUGUAUACAUACGAACUAGCUUGAGCUCUAACAUUUCUAAGCCGAAAUAUGGUAGUGGGACCAAGGCAAAGAAAAUAUGACAGUUUCAAUAACCUCAGGGGAAUAGAAUCUCAGAAUUCGAUUAAAGCUUGUGAGCUCCAGAUAAUGGGGAAGUUUUCGGUUGAUAUGAGACUUGGAUUGUCAUGACUUAUCCAGGCCAAAUUAUGUCAUCCAAUGAUUUUCAUUUGUGUUAGGUUUCACCUAUACUAUAACAUCUUGUAACGUCUUUUGGUUGUAUUGAAAAUUGAAUCAUACUUUAAAUUCCACAUGCGCACAAUAGGAUUUAUA